ACAAAAUCGAUUACAUCAAAAUAGUCUUUCAUCUUCUCGAUAUCUUGCAGCAAUCCAUAGAUCUCAGCUAUGUUGUCCUUCAAUUUGAUGCUCUUGAUAAGUGUUUCGGAAUCUAGAGCUACCCACACACGGUGUAGUCCCAGAUCUGAGGCGAUUUGCAGCGAUCUUCGAAGAGCCAUGCUUUCUGCUACCAGAGCAGAUCCCACCAGUGCAUGUGCUUCCGAUCCCUGGAGCAGGGUGUUUCCGUGUUCAUCUUUGAAUAUCCAACCCAACCCUGCUGUUAGAGAUGCACUGUUCCAUGAUCCAUCAACAUAACAUCGGAUCGAGCUCGUCGGGAUUGGAAGGUUCCAUGAUCUCCUCGUUGAAACAGAUGUUCCAUAAGAUCCAGGGGAAGAGAGGUCCUCGUCCAACACCCGUAGGAGGAAGGCAUAUCAAACAGCGCGUGGAUCUGAUACCGGAUAUAACAUCCAAAAACUGGGUCGUGUUGAUUGGGAUCGAGCAGGGUAUCUGGUUCCAUAUUUCCAAGGCGAAGGGGCAAUGGAAGAAUAAGUGUACCUCAGAUUCCGGAGCUCCACAGUGAAUGCAAGAUGAGACCUGGAUGACUUUCCUCUUGACGAGAUUGUCCCCUAAAGAUUCCCGAAGUUUGCGACGUCCAGAUGAUUCUAUCUUCCACAUCCGUAUGACUUAAUUUGAUGCACUUUAUCUCAGUUUCAAACUCGGUUUGUAGACGUGUUCCGGGGCUGGGCCGAUGGGUUUGUAGAUUUGGGAUGUGGAUAUCCAACUCUCUUUCCAGAUGCUUGUUGUUUUCCCGUUGCCAAUAGCUUUCCCCAACUUAUAUUUUAAAUCUCUCCUCAAUAGACUUACGAAAGGUGCCAUCAACUACAAUAUUCAGCAACAGCUGCAAAAGUUUCAGGAUGUGGCCGGUGGAGGGCUUCUUCUCGAUGCAAAAUAAGCAUCUCGAAUGCAGCCAUGUUACAAAUUAAAACUGGCUGCAAAAAGAAUUAUCUUCGGCCGUAAGCCCAUUUACCAAGACCCGAGAAUCUCAGUCUGGUAUCUUCUCCCUCAAUACUCGGUAAUGUAUCUAAGCCUUAAACUUUUUUAUAAGUUCUCUAUUAUAUACUUAGAUGAUGAGUACCCGCGCAUAUGUGCGGAUUUUGAUCUCAUAAAUUAUAUCCCUUCUUAUUUAUUUAUUGGUUUGAUGUUAGCUCUUUGAUGUUAUUGU